UCUCCGUUGGUGAACCAGCGGAGGGAUCAUUACCGAGUUUACAACUCCCAAACCCAAUGUGAACGUUACCAAACUGUUGCCUCGGCGGGGCCACGCCCCGGGUGCGUCGCAGCCCCGGAACCAGGCGCCCGCCGGAGGAACCAACCAAACUCUUUCUGUAGUCCCCUCGCGGACGUUAUUUCUUACAGCUCUGAGCAAAAAUUCAAAAUGAAUCAAAACUUUCAACAACGGAUCUCUUGGUUCUU
rnacentral:misc_RNA from 1 species